UACGGGGGGAGCAAGCGUUGUUCGGAUUUACUGGGCGUAAAGGGCGCGUAGGCGGCCAGCGCAAGUCAGUUGUGAAAUCUCCGGGCUUAACUCGGAAAGGUCAACUGAUACUGCGCGGCUAGAGUGCGGAAGGGGCAACUGGAAUUCUCGGUGUAGCGGUGAAAUGCGUAGAUAUCGAGAGGAACACCUGCGGCGAAAGCGGGUUGCUGGGCCGACACUGACGCUGAUGCGCGAAAGCCAGGGGAGCGAACGGG
rnacentral:rRNA from 1 species